UUUUUUUUUUUUUUUUUAAAGAUUUAUUUAUUUAUUUAUUUAUUGUAAGUACACUGUAGCUGUCCUCAGACACUCCAGAAGAGGGAGUCAGAUCUCGUUACGGAUGGUUGUGAGCCACCAUGUGGUUGCUGGGAUUUGAACUCCUGACCUUCGGAAGAGCAGUCGGGUGCUCUUACCCACUGAGCCAUCUCACCAGCCCAUGCAGGCUCUUUCUUGUUUCUGCUGUUGCUUGCAUACUCCAGGCUAAGUGGCCUGUGAGCUUCUAGGCAAUUCUCCUGAUCUUGCCUCCCAUCUUACUGCAGGAGUGCUGGGGUUACAGAUGUGUACCACUGCAUCUACCCAUUUUUCUUUUUGACAUGGGUCCUGGGGGUCAAGUGUGUAUGACAAGCACUUUGAGCAAUCUUGCCAAUCCUUAGCUUUAUUCUUAUAAAAAAUAGUCAAAUUGCCCAAGGGAGUCAGAAAAUUAAUAUUACUUUUAAAUGGAUUUCAGAAUUGGCACAAUGAUUCUUUAAAAUUGAUAGAAGUGAUUUUUUAAUGUAAAAAAAUCAAUAUUUGAGCUUAAUAUGAGGAAUAGUUUGGACAUUUUAUCAAAAGUUUUUAAUUCUUAAUAAUGCUUGAUAAAUAUUGUUUAUACUCAGGUAAGAGGUAUUUUGUUUAAAUUCUUUGAUUUUUUUAAAGAUAAAAACAUCUAUAAACAAUUUAGAACAUGUGUUUUGUACCAGGCAUUAAGAUACUAUUGAAACAAAGGGGCUUAUAUGUUAGAACCUGAAGCAUCCUGUGUACAUAUGUCACCUCUGCCCCAUCUUUAUUUUCUGUUACUAAAAUUUUAAUAUAUCAUGCUGCGUCCUCCUUAUUACAUUAUUAUCUGUGAUGGUUUCCAUGCUCCAAAAGAAGGUAGGAAUUAGUUGUAAAAGAUUGCUUCCUACGUCCUAAAUUUUUUUUUGUCCUGUUAUAGAAAAAGUUUGCCAGCCUCUGACAUUGCAUAAAAUUAAAUUAGUUAAUUAAUUUGCAGUGUCCAGACUUUCUUUAAUUGGGUCUUAAACUUGAAUAACAAUUAAUAAUGUGAAAUGAUCAAAAUUACUUUCCACAGUCUUGAGUUUAUAUUAGAAGUUCUCUGUUUCACUUUCUCUUUAUGUCAAAGGGUUAUUGACUCUUAGUUAACUUCAACCUAGUGUUACUAAGAUUGCUUUUUUUCUAUAGGAGGGUUUUCUAGCACUUGAAAGCUGACUUUGAAGUGUCUAAUACAAGGGUAUCUGGGUUUAUUUGUGAUUCCGAACAUAUGUGUAUGCUUGUUGGCAAGAGGCUAAAGGCCGACUCUUGCAACCACCCAUGCAACUACAAACUGUAAAGGAUCUUUGUAAAUACAAUUUUCCUCUUCAGUAUGCUAACACAAUGAGUAUUAUACUUGAAGAUUAAAUAUGGUUGAAAAUUAACUUUUCCCCCUUGCAAAAUGUAAAAAUUAAACACAGAAGCUCAGAAAUUACCAUCCUGGGUCUAAAUGUGCUUGAGACCAGUUCUUUUGUCUUCAUGGUCGCCAUUGAUCAAAGCAAAGAAGUUUCAUGGGAUUUUCAUAAAGUUCCUUGUGUUUCAGGUCUCUGCUAUGUGAAGAGUAGAGUUCCAGUCAUCUUUAACACUUUGUCACUCUUAGAUGCUCUAGCUGGCCAGUGUUCGUACUCCAGAAGACAAGAGCUCUUCUGACUGAGGGCCCCCAGUAGCCACUGCCCCUCCCCCAUGCUAUCCAGCUCAUGUCCCUGUUACAUGCUGCUCUGAUCUUGGAGCCCCUGACCAUGCCAUGUGUGCUGCACAUGUGGCACUGUGCCCUUCCUGAUGAACACCCUGAGGAAGUCAGUCUGAGGGCUGGUGCUUGUUUUUGGAUUUGUGCUGACUAUUGAUACUUUAUUAUAUAAGCAUAAUAUAUCAUUUAUGUAAAUAAUACUGUAGGCAAUGACCUUCAUAGUGGGAGAUUCCCGAUUAGGAAGUGAGAGAGUGUCAGGAAAAAUUCAAGUCCUUGUGAUUUGGGAGCUUGCCACACAUAGAUUCCCCCACCCCUACCCAGCCACAUGCAACAUACAUAUACCCGCCUCCAUCCACAAAGGUGAUUAUAGGACAAUGAAAUAAGUGAGUCACAGAUUUUGAGAUGUUUCCAAAACAUAUAGCUAACAACUUUUCUAUGUCUAAGCAACUCUAUGCUAAAUUAUAAAGGCAGCUCAUUUAAAAACAAAGUCAGCAAAGGACUAUAGACAUUUCAUUAAGGAAUAUUCUUGAAUAUCCAGUAUGCAAGUGUGGAAAAAUACUUUAUACAGUCCUGUCAUCAUAUAAGUGCAAAUUAAAGCCACUAUGAUAUAUCACAAUACAACCAUUAAAAUGACUAGAGCAAAUUACCUAGCUCCAAACACUGGCAUGAAUAUUGUGAUGUGAUUUGGUGUGCUGCUGGCCAAACACAUAAGAAUGGACUUUCUCUUGACUUUAAGCAUUUGAUCCACUGUGUGACAAGAUAAAUGAAGACAAACACACAAAAAAGACAACACAGAUGAUGGAAAUGUUGUAUAACAUGACAGUUGCACUUGUGAAAAUUCAGGGUUCACUAAAUUCCCCAUUUAUAGAUUUCACUCUAUAGGAACUUUCUAUACUCAGAAAACACUGAAUCUUAGUUUUUAAAUAAAAUUUUCUCAGUGGUGAAGUAGUAACUCUGCGAUUGUGUGUGUGUAUGUAUGUAUGUUUGUGUGUGUUCUAAGCUUGUAUGAAGCCAUAUAAUUAUAAAUAUAUAAUAAAUAAACCAUAUAUUUCAAAUAGCAGAACCAGGUUUCUUGUUAUUGCUCAGGAGAGUAACAUAUAGAGGACCAGGAUGUCUCUACGUUAUUGGGUUGAGAUCUGAGGUAUCAUUUUGAGCUCAUAGUUUUUCAUAGAAUAGAAACAGAAAUAUAUGUCGGUGAAAUUAUUAGAAAUUGUGCCACGUUUGAUGCCACAUACCAGCACUUGAGUUGCUGAGGCAGGAUUGGGAGUUCAAGACAAUCUGAGCUACAUAAAAGACCUGAUUAGGAAGAGAGGGAAUUUUCAGACAAAUCUCAUAGUCCAGGCUGACCUCAAACUUGCUAUGUAGCCAAGGAGGAAUUCUUGAACAUCUUAAUGUUGUGAUUACACUGUUUCCAGAUUCUGAUUUCUAAACAUUACCCAUUUUUAAAAAGGGGGGUGUCUCUACAGAAAUCACUUAUUCUAGAUCUGGGGCAGACAAAGUACAAGAUGAACCUAAGGCAUCUUAUUCUCAGAAAGAGAAAUUCAAUUAGAUAUUGCAAUUUAUGAUUCAAUUUAGCUAUGUAAAGAAAUGAGAGAUUGUGCCAAGUUUGGUGGCACACAGCAGCCCUUGAGAGGCCGAGGCACGAUCUGCAGCUCACGGCCAUCUGAGCUCCAUAGAAGACCUGACUAGGAUGAGAGGGAAGAGGGAGGAAGUGAGAUUGUCAUGCUUGUCUUCACAGUAAAAAAAGAACCUGAACAACCUGAAAACCUAUUUUUUAAAAAGGAACCAAACCAAAGCUGGCACCUUUGAUCCCAGCACUUGGGAGGCAGAAGUAGGCAGAUCUUUAUGAGUCUGAAAGCAACCUGGUCUACAUAGUGAAUUCCAGGACAGCUAGAGUUGUAUAGUGAAAUCUUCUCUCAAUAAAAAUAAACAAUAC
rnacentral:lncRNA from 1 species